rnacentral:misc_RNA from 1 species
GAUGAAGAACGUAGCGAAAUGCGAUAAGUAAUGUGAAUUGCAGAAUUCAGUGAACCAUCGAAUCUUUGAACGCACAUUGCGCCCGCCAGUAUUCUGGCGGGCAUGCCUGUUCGAGCGUCAUUUCAACCCUCAAGCCCCCGGGCUUGGUGUUGGGGAUCGGCACAAGGCGCUGGCACCCUCGGGAGCCCGCGCCCGCCGUCCCCCAAAUCCAGUGGCGGUCACGCCGUGUGUACCUCAGCGUAGUAGCAACACCUCGCUCGGGAACCCUUCUGUGAACCACGCCGUAAAACCCCCGACUUUUUUCUGGUUGACCUCGAAUCAGGUAGGACUACCCGCUGAACUUAAGCAUAUCAAUAAGCGGAGGA